AUGUUUGAAGCCGACUUGGAUCGUUCACUCUCCAUGAAUUGUACUUCAUAAGACCAAUCCUGUCAAGAAGCAGCUUUCUGAAGGAGACAUUCUUGCAAGCAAGGAAGUUCUCAUCUCUGUGCAAUGUCUUCAGCUCUUCAUAGGAAGGCCAGUCACAAAGUUUAUAAGCAUCCUACAAUAAAAUCAUUUCUCUUAGUAACCAAUUUCAAAAAUCAGAUUAUAACCUACUGAGUUACCUUCAAAUUCAUAUGCAGAUCAUCAGCAACACUAAAGAGGACGGAAUGGACGAACUUUGCCUCGUUGAAUCGCUUCUCAAACGCCCACAUCUCAGCCUUCGACAGCGGUGUUUCAUCAAGGAUGAUUUGCCUCUCUUCAACACUCACAUCAGCAACUCGAAAUG
rnacentral:lncRNA from 1 species